UCGGGUCACCGCGCGGGUCAGGGCCAAAACGGCGUCGUUUUGGCACCUGACCCCUAAGGGUAAAACGGCGUCGUUUUGUGAGGGUUAUUUAAACCAAAAUUUUUUUAAAAUCUUCAUUUUAUUCUUCUCCUUCUAAAAAAACUGAAAAAAACCUCUCAAGUUUCUCUCACCCUCUCUCUCAGCCCAGAAUCCGGCGAGGAGGGUCGCCGUUGACGCCGCCGCGCCGGCCACCGUACACGGUGGCCAGAAAAUUCAAGAAAGGUAUUUUUUUUUUUUGCACUUUUCUCUUUAUAUUAUAUGUUUAUAUAAAUAAAUAAACAAAAAAAAAUUAAAAUAUCUGAGAAGAAAACGAAAAUAAAAGGGAACCGACAAUCACCUUUAAACUCUUUUUUUUUGCUUUUUAUUUCUGAAAACGUUAACAAAAAAGAAAACUCCCCCCAUUACAAGAAUGAAGUUCGGUCCCCCUUUUUUUGAUUUCUGUUAUGACUUUAUAGCCAUUUACAACUUGUAUUCUAUUAUUAUUAUUUUUUCUUGUCAUUUCCUUCUCUGGUUUUGCAGGCAAGUGGCGAUGGGACGUGAGGCGGCGGCGUGACAGUGCUGGUGAAGGCGGCGCCGGAAGACUAAAGGUCUAAAGACCUUAGGUGCGGCGCUAGGGUUUCUUUUCUGAAACCCUAGCUAAGCUUUGAGGGGGUUGGGCCAGUUGGGCCUUGUUUUGGGCUCCGGGUUUGGGCCUGCUAUUUUGUUUUUUGUAAUCUGGACUGCUAUUGGGCCUGGGCGAAAUUUGGGCUAUACAACCUAGAAACUGACUUGAAGCCCAAAUGACUCGAUUGAUUUGAAUCAAUUGAUUUGAGUUUAAAAAGUCAAUCAUUCAAACUUGUCUAACCAAACUUGAAAAUAAUUUGAACUUAUAAUGAUCUGAACCCAAAACGACAUAAAAUCCAAAAUGUUCGAACUUAAGUGUCAAGCUCAAUCAAAAAUCCUAAAAUGACCCAACUUGAAAACUCCAAUGACGAAAUUUGGAUGAUCAAAUUUUGAAAUCAUUUGUGUAAUAGCCAUUUUGCCCGGGGCCCAAAACUCGGAAGCCCAAAAUCCAAAUACAAAUAGUCUAGAAAAUACAAAUAAUAACCCAAUCACAAAUGGGCCCAAAAAUUAAAAACCUAGCCCAAACAACAUUAACAUUUUCAGCAGAAAUGAGUAAAAGAAACCCUAGGAGCCGCAUGCCUCGGGUGGCCUCCUCGCCUGCCACACCUAGCCGCACGCCUCUGCUCCUGCCCGCCAACCGCCGCAAGCGCGCCAGGCCUUCUUCAUGCGUGUCAGACACCUACAAAACAAAAGUAGCAAAAAGCAACAGACGAAUAAUCCAAGAUGAAAAAUGACAAACACAAUAGAUUUAGGAGUUUGAAAUCGGCUAUAAAGGCCGAAGCUUGUGAUGGUUUUGGGUCUUCUUCGAUUUUCUUUGUAAAAGAAAAGCAUAACAAAGAUUGAAAAUAAAAAAAGAGAACAAACGGUUGCGGUUUUCUUCUUUUUUUUCGACUCAUUCAUUUAUUUUAUUUAUUAUUAUUUUUCUUUCUUUUUACAAAUCUGUUCUAAAAAACUUUUAAUAAAAGAAAAUAAAAAAGGGAGAGGGGAAGAAGAAGGGUCACCUGAAUCGCUGUAAGCCCCGUCGUCGGAGGCUCCUUUCCGUCACCGGAGUCAGACCAAGAGAAGGCGAGAAAGACUCUUCUCCUUCGGUCUUUCGGGAUUGAAGGUCGGGCCUUCGGGCGAGAUCUAAAACGGGUUGAAAACCCGAAGUUUCGGUGGUCCUGGCCACCGCUUGCGGAGAGGCCACGGCGGCCUCUGGCCGGAAGCCCGACGGUCGGACUGGGAGCCCGCGAGAGAGAGGGAGGCUGAGCCCUCUGUUUUCUUUUGAAAAAAUGAAACAAAC
rnacentral:lncRNA from 1 species